UACGUAGGGUGCAGGCGUUAAUCGGAAUUACUGGGCGUAAAGCGUGCGCAGGCGGUUUCUUAAGUCAGAUGUGAAAGCCCCGGGCUUAACCUGGGAACUGCGUUUGAAACUGGGAGACUUGAGUGUGGCAGAGGGGGGUGGAAUUCCGCGUGUAGCAGUGAAAUGCGUAGAGAUGCGGAGGAACACCAGUGGCGAAAGCGGCUUCCUGGUCCGACACCGACGUUCAGGCACGAAAGCGUGGGGAGCAAACAGG
rnacentral:rRNA from 1 species